rnacentral:rRNA from 1 species
ACUCAAAUGAAUUGACGGGGACCUGCACAAGCGGUGGAGCGUGUGGAUUAAUUCGAUAACAAGCGAAGAACCUUACCAAGGCUUGACAUCCCGAGAAAGCCCAAGAAACUGGGCCGUGCCGCAAGGAACUCGGUGACAGGUGCUGCACGGUUGUCGUCAGCUCGUGCCGUGAGGUGUCCCGUUCAGUCGGUUAACGAGCGCAACCCCUAUCGUGUGUUGUAUUUUUCACGCGAAACUGCCCCGGUUAACGGGGAGGAAGGUGGGGACGACGUCAAAUCAGCGUGGCUCUUACGCCUUGGGCGUCACACGCGCUACAAUGGAUAGUAACAAUGGGUUGCCAAGCCGCAAGGCGGAGCUAAUCCCAACAAACCUAUCCCCAGUUCGGAUUGAGGGCUGCAACUCGCCCCCAUGAAGUCGGAAUCGCUAGUAACGGCCGGUCAGCCAUACGGCCGUGAAUACGUUCUCAGGUCUUGUACACACCGCCCGU